rnacentral:lncRNA from 10 species
CUGAGCCUAAUGCACACAAAUGGAGCCAGGCUAAUGGAGAGGAAGGAGAGCUUUUUCCAAACCAAUAGAGAAAGGCCCACAGGAAAUGUUUAGCAGAUGUGGCAAACCCAGACAGUUAUGAAAUCAUUGUUCAUUCAUAACUUUACGUAAGUCUGAGCAUGCAGACAGUUGCUUUGCUUUAUUUUGGUUUUACUUUCUGUUUUCUUGCUUGAGAAGAACCCUAGAGCUUCAGGUAAACUCAACCCCCUCUUCGCAGAAAUGUCACUCAUGCUCAUCACAGAUGACGCAGAUGCCGAGGAAGCCACAGAGAGCAAUUGGGCACAGGCGGUUCAAAACUGGCCUGCGGGAGCAUGGGAGUCUUUUCCUGCAUGGGGCCUGCAGAAGGAAAUGCAGCCCGCAGCUCAGCACGGCCUCCAGACGGCCCUAGUCUCUGCGUUUCCUCAGAAACUCCUUGCGGGAAGAACACACAUGUUCCAGGCCAGAUGCUCUUCCCCACGUCUAUGGACAGAGCACUGAUCCCAGUGAGGAACGUCCACACACCACACAGCAAAACCCUUCUCACCGUGAGAAAUUGACAGUUGCCUGAGAAAGACACUGUCGUGUAGGAAACAAAGCCUUCAUCUCAGAUUUUAGAGAAAUCCCCGCAAAGAAAUGACAAAAGCAGAGUGGCUUCAGCGUUCUCCGUAGACACAGAUGUUCACCUCCACUGUGGGCAUCUUCAGGCAGGAGCUUUGCCUCACCCCUUCUCUCGUGUGCCUUCCAGGACUCAGCCCCCUCGUGCCUCCCGGAAUGCAGGGGUGCCAUUGGAAAGAUGGAAAGUCUAAGGAGGGUACAAGUCACAGCUGCUCUGGUCCUCAGAGCUUCCCUGCACUGGGCGUGUUGAAUGCACACUCUCUACCCCAUAACAUACCAUCAGAUGCGGGAAUAUGAAUGAGAUCAUCCCAGACUCCAUGGGGAUCACAGAGCUUGGGAAAGGAAUGUCAACACUGGAAGGCAGGUCUGAGUCCAAGUCUGUGUCCUCAGCCUAAAAUCUUCAGAUUUAGUAAAUAAAAACAUGGGUUGCCUGGUUAAAUUUUUACAUAAGCAAAGAAUAGUUUUUAGCAUAAAAUGCUGCAUGCAAUAUUCAGUGUCCUGUAUUUCGUCUGGCAGCCUCACCUCUCCGGCACAGCUAUGGGAAGAUGCUUUUGUCCGCCCAGCCAGGGCCAGGAUGACACCAGGGACGCUCAAACGUCUACAGCCAAUUUGGUGACCCCCUUUAAUUUUUGGAAAUGCCACUGCUGGCCCCUCACAGUGGAAAUUCUUCAUGUGCAACCAGCUCAUAAAUAUAGUGUGUUGGAGGCACCUGGAUGGUUAGGACUCAGGACAAUAUUCUCCCCAAAUAUUUUCUCAACAUCCAUCUUCCUGGUGGCAAUUAGUGUCUGAGAUUCUCUUUAACUUUUCCUUGCCGGGGUGACUGCAGUCAGCCGUCAAGGCAAGAAAAGGGAAGUCUGAAAAAGUGUAAAACUGAUCAUCAAAACACAAAACUUUACGUGUUUUUCUCUGAAAGCGCAUGAAACUGGCUGCUUAGCUUCCAAAUGGAAACCCCACACUGCAUGUUCUCCGAGGCUUUUCUGCUUUCUUUUGACAUUUUGACACUGAGCUCUGAAAUAAUAGUGUUAACUGUUGAUCUUUUUUUCCUUUGGAAAUUGGCUUUUGACACUAGACAGCUGGAAAAUCUGAAAGGUUAGCGCACAUCUGGUGCGUCUACCUCAAUAUAAAUGCCAAUGUUCCAUCAAAGCUUUUCACAGAUCAAUGAAAUAAUGAUCACAGGUGCCAAGACACAGGGAUUCACUAAGAUGGACAGCCACACAGAAUUAUGACAAGGUUGGUGGUUGUUUUUGUUUUGCUUUUCGUGUUUUGUCUCUAUUAUUCAUGGAGAUUUGUCCCUAGAAACACCAGAGAGAGCCUACAGUGCCAACAGCACAGCUCUCUGGCAGGGCCCCAAGAGCCGCGGGAGGGCAGGGCAGGUUCCUGGCAUGCCUGAGAUGACUUAGCACACUGUGAACCAGGGCUUGUGAACAGGGAAGUGUUACUCAAGAUUGAGCUUGACUUUACAAAAGCAAGCUUGUUCCCCUGGAAGGCUUUCCAAUUUUGAUAAACUGUACUGUGCAUUCAUGCCUGUUCAUUUGAGUGACUGCAGAUCUUAAAAGAAUCGUUUUCGGAAGACAAAAAUGCAUGUAAAAUAAGGCUGGGCGAUGUGAGAGGUGACACUGUAACAUUGGGAGCUGGUCCUGCUCUGGCAACAGGCAAUAGCUUCCUCAGUCUCCUGCAGAGCCAAGCAAGGAAUGGUUUUGCUGGGGAGUUCUGCAAAAUUUAAUGAGAGAGGCAGGUGUGAGGCCACGUCACAGCAAGGGAACCUGCAGUUCACUUCAAAUUUGGGGAAGAGUUUUGAAGCCUUGACAACAAACCACCUCUUUUUCAACAUCCUUCUUCCUCUUCCUCUCUUCAGCAGCAAAGCUUCUUAUUCCUACAAUACAGGGUAGAGAGAGACAACUGUUUGAACUUUCAAAUUGUACACUGGAAGACGAGCACCAUGUUUGCAAUUGAUUCUGCCUCCUUCCAGCUUAGAGCCUUCAGUAGCAGACACGAGCAAUUUCCUACCCUGCUGAGCUCCAUGGGCUCCCAAUGGAUCCUUCAAAGCUGAGCUCCUGGUAACCUCACAGAGAAUCGCUGUGUGGGAAACCAGAGCAGGAGGCUGGAGGCAGAAAGUUGGCACUGGAGCACACCACCCACAGCGGGGUAUGAGGCCUGAGACGAAAGUGAAUCCUGUGUCUUCUUCAGAGACACAGAAGCUGCUGAUUUCUUCCUGUUCUGGAGACUGACACUUAAAUGUGUCUCAGAAGUGGUUUGGGGCAAAGUAGGGGCAAAAAUUUUCAUGUGGAGGCAACAAAUUUAAAUAACCAAACACAAUGAACCAAAAUUAUCGAUUCUCUGAGUCAUUUUAUAACUGAAUAGUCAAUUCUCUGAGUCGUUUUAUAACACCUGGGACAGCGUCGUGGAGACUGAACACGUGAGUUCUCUGAGUUGCUUUAUACCACCUGGGAGAGUGUGGUGGAGAUUGAACACAUCAAUUCUCUGAGUCGUUUUAUAAUGCCUGAAAGAGCAUCAUCGAGACUGAACACGCGGUGAAUUGCAGCCACUACUCAACAUCAUGCUUUUCACGUCUAGUCUGGAUGGAACAUUCUAGAAGGGCUCUAGGAGACACGUGGAUCCUGGAGUAAGUUGGGUAAAGAAACAUGUUAAAGGAAGGUAGCUCUUAUUUUACCAGAGCCUGUCCUUUGGUUUUUGUUAAAUCCAGAGUAUCUUAAAAUUUAAGAAUUACAUUUUCAGGUAGAAGCUUCAAUACUGUUUAUUUGAAUAAAAUAUAAAUAAUUUAUAUUAACAAGGCUGCUUAAAGUUUAUUGAAUUCUCAAUUUUUUAUGACCUUAUCAUCUCCUUAUGAAAUAACUGUUACUGAACAAGAAUUAAGUCUUAU